CUUCUCUGGGCCUGAAAUCGUACCAGGGACAGCCGCGUUCGGCGACCCACAGCGCAACGCGCUGCACGGCCGCGCGGUAGUCAUUGGCGAGUUCAAUCACAGUGUCUAGUGUAGGCAGCAGACCUCUCCACACCAUAAACUCCAAGAUAGGGCGCCAGCCGUAGAGCGAGAGGGCGCUGCGGCAAAAGAUUCCGUUUGUCGUCCAGGACCCCGACCGUAGUCUGGGUGCCUCUGUACCCAAGAGGCACUUGAUGGCGACGACAUUGCAUCUAGAUGCCGCCUCACGCCACAACCAGCUGUCCUCGUCGUACGCGGUCUUUUUCAACAAUGGCAGUAAGACACGCGGAUUGCGUGUGUCCAUGGCGAGACUGAGCGCUUCGUUGCCGACUAGCCGAUCGUCGGGAAGUCGCUCGGCGAGAUGCACCGCGACGCGCGCAUCCCCGUAUUCCAGGGCCAUGGCGACCACAUUCCGGUGCCGGCCAAACCGAAACGGCGCGGCGUCGGAGCCGGGGAGAUAAGGAGGUCCAUAUGACAGAUUGUCGCGUUCCAGCACAUUGCCGCGCCACACGACUUCGUUGAACCACCAACGCAUCUUGACGCGAGCCGUCUCCUCGCAGAAUUGUGCGGCUUGGUCGUGGCCGCGCACGGUGGCGAUGGCGGUCGUCAACGGGCUAAACCGGACGCCGUUAGCGUGCGCCCACGAGAGCACGUGCGUGUGUCCUCCGUAGGCGGCAGCCAGCGUGAGUGUCUUGGGCAUAAGGCGGGGCUCAUCGAGCCACGCGAUGACGUCGAGGCGGCCGUUUCGCGCUGCCUCCAAAGCCAUGUGACGCCAGAGCAGAGAUCGCGACGGCGGCGGUCGGGGGAACGGCGUUGCGCUAAUGUCGAGGCCCCUACGGCGCAUCACUCCAAUGCCCGCACAGCGAGUGGCCACGUCAUCGCUGUGCAAACGUUCCACAAUAUGGCCCUGGCCGGCAACCAGCGCUGCCCUAUACGCGUCAUGUUUGUCCAGCCUGUUCUUCCCGAGCAACCAUUCUAUGACCUCGGUGUGGCCGUGCCUCGCCGCGCGUCUGCUCGCGCACGCGGGCACGUUGUGGUUCCGAUCAAACAGCCAAUCAAGAAGAACGACAUUGCCCGUGCCAAAGGCAACGUGCCAUGCCCAGCGCACGUUGGCGCGAAGGUCGAUCGAGAGCGUAGAUAGGGUCUCGUAGUGUGCACCAAGAGCGGCUUGUUUGAUCGCCUGUCGGAGCGCAUGACGGGCGGCUUCGUAUUCGGCUUUGCGCUCCUCGCAUCGGUGCUUGGGACGCCGCGAGGGUUGGCGCCGCAGCAGUUGGACCACGAGGUCGGUGUUGCCCGAAGCCGCGGCCGCCACCAGACAUCGGUCGACAGAAUAGGGGCACCCGGCCGCUUGCAUCCACGCAAGCAGUUCCAGAUGGCCAUAACGCGCGGCUUCGACACAUGCGUCGUCAUCCCAUGGACAUCCGGCGCCGACGGCCCAUUGCGCCAGGUCCAUCCGGCCGGCGCGCGCGGCCUCUGCCAAGAACGUGCGUCUCUUGGCCGUUUGGCGUUGGCCUCGCUUGCUCGACGUCAGGUUCUCCAAAGCCACGGCCCUCCACAGAGGCGACACCAGGGCGCACACAAACUGAUCGCACGCCUCCAAGCGGGCGAGGAUGGCCGAUAGCAUUUCGCAUGGCAGGUCCUCUGCCGUCGUGGUGCAUGUCGUAUCAUCGCCCUCCAUUCUGCGCCUGUGCACGAUGGCCUUUUUUUCCUCCUUGCCGUUUGUAAUCUAGCCUGGCGUGGUGAGAUCGCCUCGUUGUUAGUACAAAUGGCACAAGAGAAUACAGACAGACAAACAGCGACCUUGCCCUCUCAUGCGACGACACCGCCAGGCCAAUAGGAAAAGAAAUGCGAAAAAAAAAGUUUGGGACCAAUCUCGUGGGCCGGUGCGCAUUAGCGGCCGACCGAGCCGGACAACUGAGACUUGCCCACGCCAUGCUGCGGGGAGAGGGAUCGCACAAAAAGUUCUGGGUGGCCCGCAGUGAAGAAGAAGGAGAAGGAGGAGGCUUUGCAGCUAGUGCUCGCGAGUUCCAGCCGGCCGUGUUUGGCUGACCGGAUGGUCCCCGCCCUGACCAAAGGAGCAGCCAAAUGCGAAUCGACCGGCGGCGGGGGCAACUGAACCGCGCACGCUUUACCCUGAUGACACAGCGCGGAAACUGCAGGUUCCAAUACAAUCAGAGACUACCGGAUGGGACCUGUUGUGCAGGGCCGCCCCUAGAAAGGCUGGCGCGCAGUCAAAGCCACAAACUGCUCUAUGGCAAAAGAAAUAGGGUUGUUAUAAAAAAAAUCGAUAGCCGGAGCGAUGCCGCGGAAGCGCCUGCAGUCGUCAAUCUCGAAAAAGGGAGCCAAAGGAGGAGGGGGAGGCCAUAAAAAAGUCAGCGCAGAGCCGCCAACAAGUGUCUACAGUCGGCUGUUCUGUCUAUUUGGGCGCACGUGAAAGUGCCGGCGGCAGGCAUGGCUCGCUCGCCAAUAUGUAUACCACUUGCAAGCAAACCAAACAACGCCGCUUACGACGUCCUUC
rnacentral:lncRNA from 1 species